rnacentral:rRNA from 1 species
UACGUAGGUGACAAGCGUUAUCCGGAUUUAUUGGGCGUAAAGCGCACGCAGGCGGCUGAUUAAGUCUGACGUGAAAUCUCUCGGCUUAACCGGGGAACUGCGUCCGAUACUGGAUGGCUUGAGUUCGGGAGAGGGAUGCGGAAUUCCAGGUGUAGCGGUGAAAUGCGUAGAUAUCGAGAGGAACACCUGCGGCGAAGGCGGGUUGCUGGGCUGAUACUGACGCUGAGGCGCGAAAGCCAGGGGAGCGAACGGG